rnacentral:rRNA from 1 species
ACGUAGGUGGCGAGCGUUGUUCGGAUUUAUUGGGCGUAAAGGGUCCGCAGGGGGCUAAUUAAGUCUGAUGUGAAAUCUCCCGGCUCAACCGGGAAACUGCAUUGGAUACUGAUUAGCUAGAGCAUCGGAGAGGAGAAUGGAAUUCCUGGAGUAGCGGUAAAAUGCGUAGAUAUCAGGAGGAACAUCAAAAGCGAAGGCAGUUCUCUGGACGAUUGCUGACCCUCAGGGACGAGAGCGUGGGUAGCAAACAG